rnacentral:rRNA from 1 species
GGCCUUCUGGNCCGAGUUGNAAUUUGUAGAGGAUGCUUUUGGUGAGGUGCCUUCCGAGUUCCCUGGAACGGGACGCCAUANAGGGUGAGAGCCCCGUCUGGUUGGACACCGAGCCUCUGUAAAGCUCCUUCGACGAGUCGAGUAGUUUGGGAAUGCUGCUCAAAAUGGGAGGUAUAUGUCUUCUAAAGCUAAAUAUUGGCCAGAGACCGAUAGCGCACAAGUAGAGUGAUCGAAAGAUGAAAAGCACUUUGAAAAGAGGGUUAAAUAGUACGUGAAAUUGUUGAAAGGGAAGCACUUAUGACCAGACUUGGGCCCGGUGAAUCAUCCAGCGUUCUCGCUGGUGCACUUCGCCGGCCCAGGCCAGCAUCAGUUCGUCCCGGGGGACAAAGGCUUCGGGAACGUAGCUCCUUCGGGAGUGUUAUAGACCGUUGCGUAAUACCCUGGGGUGGACUGAGGUUCGCGCUUCCGCAAGGAUGCUGGCGUAAUGGUCAUCAGCGACCCGUCUUGAAACACGGACCAAGGAGUCGUCUUCGUAUGCGAGUGUUCGGGUGUCAAACCCCUACGCGUAAUGAAAGUGAACGCAGGUGAGAGCUUCGGCGCAUCAUCGACCGAUCCUGAUGUUCUCGGAUGGAUUUGAGUAAGAGCAUACGGGGCCGGACCCGAAAGAAGGUGAACUAUGCCUGUAUAGGGUGAAGCCAGAGGAAACUCUGGUGGAGGCUCGCA